rnacentral:rRNA from 1 species
GACGAACGCUGGCGGCGUGCUUAACACAUGCAAGUCGAACGGAAAGGCCCUGCUUUUGUGGGGUGCUCGAGUGGCGAACGGGUGAGUAACACGUGAGUAACCUGCCCUUGACUUUGGGAUAACUUCAGGAAACUGGGGCUAAUACCGGAUAGGAGCUCCUGCUGCAUGGUGGGGGUUGGAAAGUUUCGGCGGUUGGGGAUGGACUCGCGGCUUAUCAGCUUGUUGGUGGGGUAGUGGCUUACCAAGGCUUUGACGGGUAGCCGGCCUGAGAGGGUGACCGGCCACAUUGGGGAUGGGAUACGGCCCAGACUCCUACGGGAGGCAGCAGUGGGGAAUAUUGCACAAUGGGCGGAAGCCUGAUGCAGCAACGCCGCGUGCGGGAUGACGGCCUUCGGGUUGUAAACCGCUUUCGCCUGUGACGAAGCGUGAGUGACGGUAAUGGGUAAAGAAGCACCGGCUAACUACGUG